GCCCGUGCCGCUGCUGCCGUGGUCGGGCUGCCGGCCCGGGGAGGGAGGGGGCGGCGGCGGAAGCUGGGCCGGGUGCCGGCUCCUCCCGACCGCUGCGAAUGGCGAGGAGCCGGGCGGGUUCCGGGCAGGCGGUGCUCGCCCCGUCCCCGGGGAGCGGGGCUCCGGUGCGCGGAGCCGGGGCAGCGGUCCUGCCGAGCCGAGGGGUAGGUGAGCAUCCCUCGGCGGGAAACCUUUCGAGAGGGAAAGGGGAUGCUGCCGUUUCAUUUCCUUGCUGGUGAAGGGAAGCAAAGGAGGUGGAGCUCAGGGUAAAUCCCAAUGGCCCGUUAAGGGCAAAGAGAUUUCUGGGAUGGCUUUUCGUGUCGUGGCCCAGGAAUUUCCUUCAGGGACUUCAGAGGAGUCUCGUGAUUGUGCCCAGCAAGAGUCCUCUGAGCUGAGGGCUGAGCACAGCUGAGCAGGUACGGCUGUCUCCUUGGCUAUUGCCGGCACAGUAUGCUAAAGGGAGUGUUCGCUAGCAACAAAACUGGCCUCUGGUUGGGUAUGCCUUGCCAGAAGAGGAGUAAGAACUGUGUCCUGCUCAGUCGGCUAAUCCCCUGCCCAUGGAAGGAUUUGGGUAAGAUGAUCUCAUGAAGACCUGCCUGGGAUGCUAUAAUUAAUUCUGACUGCAUCAGUCUACAGUUUGUACAUCUAUCAGAGUGGUUUGUACAAAAAAGCAAGCAAGCAGUUUACUAAUCCAGCUCUUUGAAACUCAAGGACAGCCCAAGAAAGAAGGCAAAAGAAGAGUUUGGGGUAUGAUAUCCUAGCCCCAGGUGGGGUACAUGUGCAGCCAACAAUGUCUAACUGUUGCUGGAGGAAAACAGAGGAAUAAAAAAACUCCAGCCGCAUGACUGGGAAGAUCAGGUCAUUUGGUGUGCAACAGCUGCUAACGUGAGAGGUAUUCAUAUACGAACAAGCAAUAAACAGGUACCUGACUGCUUGUCACAAUUCAAGAAGUGUCACUGACAGCUUCAGCCUUUGUGGCUAUAGCAUGAAGGCUAGAUUUUAUGAAGCUGGAAUUGCUAAAAGGAAACUAACAGAGCCAGGAACUAAAUUCUCACUGAAUGUGGAUGAGAACUGUAAGCACACUGGAAAUCCCAGCCUACAGGUAUAAUGCUUAACACUGCUACUUUAUCUGUGUAGGAAAAGAGAAAAGCUACUUUCUAGAGCUAACAGAAAAGUGAAACUCUAAAUAGAUGGAAAGACAGAUCAUCACAAUUAUUUAAAAAUAAAUAAGGGGAUUUAAAUAUAUCAAUAAUGGAAUCACUGGGCCCAGUUCUCUUACUAUUCUCAGUUGCUAUUAAUACCCUGGAGACUGAAGACGCAAAGUUCUUGUCAGAAACUAGCGCCAAAAUGAUUUUGCAAAUGGGGAGGACAACUGUCUGCAGUAGACACUUACGUGAAAUAGAAAUUUGGUGAGACCGUAGAAUGACACUUUGCAAAAGGACCAUUUGAGUCAGUCAGGAUUUGACAUCUCGAAGUUCUGUUUUCUUGCCCCAGCUGAUUUGCAUUGCAGCCUUGGAAGAGUCCUGGAUCUGGUUCCUCCUCAGACUCAUCUUUUGAGUUGAUGUCUCGUCUGUAAAUUAAGUCAUUACGAAACCAUCAGUGCUCUGUACAUACAGCAUUCAUGGUACUACUCUCUAAGUAACACCAUAAGAGUACUUCUGCCUUGUGGUGUAAGUGUAAGCUUAUUUCUUUCUCAUGAUUUAUCCUGAAUGGGAAGGAGAUAGAUAAAGCAGAUCAAAGAUGUACUAAAACACUUCCUACCAUCUCAGAGAUUUAUGGGUAUUUAAAUCAAAAGGGAUAUCUGUCUCUUUGGAAAUUCUGCAUGACACAGGCUUCAUCAAUGCCUCCUUCAUCCAAUCUAUUCAAUAAAGUUUGAACAUUAGUCAGAAUGAUGCAGCUGGAAUAGACCACUAUUUCUUGGACAUAUGCUCACUUUCACUGAACAAGUGGCUACAUGCCUGAAGUGCCAGAAUUCUGUAGGCAUAGCCUCCAGAGCCCCUUUAUGCUCAACACCAGCCUACAUACUGCUUUCUACUAUUCUGGCAGACUAGUUUUUGCGGCUAGAUUAUAACCUGACGGCUAAUACAAUUCCAUUUACUUGCUGAAAAAGUUCUGUGUUAGUGGCUAAGCAACCUCCAAAGGUCUUUCAAAGCAAAUUGAGAAAGACAGAAAGAAAGACAGGAAGGAAGACAAGAAGGAAGAAGGGAAGGAAGAAAGGAGGAAGGAAGGGAGGGAGGAAGGGAGGAAACUUCUUUCCCUACCUGUUUCAAUAUUCUGUAUGGACUAAUUAGCACAGAGUUUGCCUGACCACAAAUAUCCUCUUUUAUAUUCAGAAGAAUGUCCUUACUUUUUGUGUAUUGGCAGAAAACACUAGAUAGCCAUGAAAGUAAGGAAAUCAGAUUCUUUAAGAACCUCUUCUGGAAGGAAUUGUGAAUUCAUCUUGAUGGAUUUCAAAGCUACCUUCAUGUUCCAGAGUGAGGGAUGACACUGAACCAGGAUUUGCCUCAGGCCCAUCCAGCACAACAUGAUGUAUUUAUCUUUUCCAGGAACCAUGAGCUUAGCAAAGAUCUUAUUCAUCCCUGUGCCCUAGCCGUUGUAAUGGCUGUGGCUCUAAAGAGGGAUACUGAACUGGAGUAAUGAAGUGAUAGUUCAGGCCUCUGGUGAGAUAGAAGGGCACUGAUAGUUCACCUUAGUGAUGAGAAGAAGUCCCUACACACAGUCCAAGGGAAGAAGAAAGACCAGAAAUAAGACAGUGUAGUUAUUCCUGGAUAUUAACUAUGGCUUAAUUCUCUCACUACCAGUGGCUGUGCUUGCCAUGGAUAUUAAGUAGAAAAUUAAGUACCUGAGACGAGAUGUUGUUCUUUUCAGAGGAACUUUCCAGCUCUCACCAAAUACAUUCACGUUCUUCACCCAAACACCAUUUGGACUUGUGAAGUCAUUUCUAUGUCUCCCAUCAAAGUCACCACACAAGCCUUCCACUCUGCUUCUGUAGGUAUUGGCCAGCUUUAUAUCUAGGGAAGUUCAGAAGAAAAAAAAAGCCAUUACACAGAAAUCCUUGCUUUUGAGUGUAUGAAAGAGGUGGAAAGCAGUGCCAAGAACCACAUUUCAUGAUUCAGACUGGAGUUGGUAAUGUGACACGAGCCUCGUAUGUAGGAUAUGAACACAGUCCUGAACAUACAUGUUCAUACAUCUAUUCACAGGACUGUUUCUGUGCUCUGCAACAUGGAUCAUGAAAAAAGUUAUUUCUUGAAGCCGAUAAGGUAUUAUAUAACAUCACAUCACCACCUGAGUGCUCUUAGUGCAUACUGCUUACUGCUUUGCAACAAACUGAAUGCAUCACCCACUUUUUGCCCUUCAUGUACAAUCCACUUGCUCGUUGAGAAACAGAAAUCCUAUAAAACAGACCUUUUCUUUCUGCAGUUGGAAUUUUAGGGUUUGGAAUGAUGGUCAUCUGUAUAAAUGGCCUGGCACUUUCACCAUACACUCAGAAAUAACAUGGCUAUAUUCUGUUGUAAAUCAGGAGUAACUGUGCUUUGAACAGAGGAGAUAAUAUGUGUUCAACUUACAUGAGUUGUGUAUAUGUGAUAUGAGUCCUGCUGAGAAACGCUAAAGAAUGGGAUUAUCUGGAACAGACUUGAGAAGAAGCAUGUAAAAGGAUGCCUCACAGCUGUAUAGCUUGAGGACCUCAGUCCUAUGACCAGGUUAAGCUGGCAAAGGGGCAGAUCCAGACUUCACCCCAUCAUCCUGAUCAGCAAUUUAAGUGAUUUGCUUUUGUUUAUAUCACUCAGGCCUUACUUAACAUAGCAAAAGUUAGAACAGUCUGACUCUCCAUCUCAUUUCUCCUAAGUUCAGGUGGAUCCAGAUAAAGAAAUGCCAGUUUUAUGGUUUUUCUCGUUCCUGGGAAACAUUUUUGUUUUAAUAUUCUGGAAGUUCAUACCACAAGGGGACAUAGGCUCAAAGGGCAACGUUUCUAAUUUGGCUUGGGUUUAGACCUCCUUUGGAAUGAGAACAUUUUUUGAGACAGUGCAUAAAUAUUCCUGCACAUUGUCUUGGUAUCACUUACCUGCAUUUUGAUUGCCAUCAAAGCUCAGGUGUAAGCCAAAAUCUGUCUCCAGGUAAAUUCUUCUUGUCCUCUGAUAUAUACGAAUACCUUCAUGAGGACGAACAGGGGGUCUCACCCUCACACCAUCCAACUGACGGGGAAAGAAUAAGUUACAAUUCAUAAUAUAUAGGCCAAAUUAAAAUCUGGCUUCAGUACAGAUCAAUGCUACAAAUCAACACUCCUCUUCUCUAGUUUUAUGAUAAAUAUAUCAGAUAAUUUAACCAGGUAAAAAACCUCAGUAUUCAGUUUUUUAAAGUUAACAAAAUCAUGUUUUGAGGAAGGUGAUCUGGACACAGUAUUUUCAUAUCACCCUAAGAGAUUUCUACUAUUGGGCUAAAAAUGUAUAUAUGAGCUAUGUAUACUCUUACGCACCAAUAGGAAGGAAAUGAAGAUUUCCUAGCAUAAUUCACAAUUUUUCCUACCACUGAUAAAAAUUUGUAUGGCUUUAUUUUAAGUCUUGGGAUAUUUGGUGUUUUAUUGCUAAAUCUCUAUUUAUUCAUUUAUUUGUUUGAAGUAGAAUUAUAUCCUUCAUAACUAUAGAGAAAAAAGACUCGACAACUGCAAAUCACCUUUGUGGUUGCCCCAUUGCACUGCUGUAAUAAUACAGUUAGCUUUAAUACUUCAAUUCUUCAAAACAGACAUUUUUUACUCAAAAGUGUUUUACUCUAAGGGAGGGCCUUUCUCUGUGCUCUGCAGUCGGUGAGAGACUUACCACAAGCUGCUUGUUCUGCCUGAAUCGCACUGUGUGAUUGUAAACAUUGACGAGAAUCUCUUUCAGGUAAGUAAUGCGUCGACUUCGACGAAAAGGAUAGUUCAUGCCUUCAAUGCUGAACUGCGUCAGAGUAUCAGGUAGGUCAGGGAUGGUCUGAGCCAGAAUAUAUGUGUAUUUCCCUUGAAAGUGGUGCACCAGACCAUCGAAAGUGAUGUAGUGUGGGUCGCCCAUGAUCUGGCAUUUCCCAAAACCUAGAGGGGGAGAGCUUCAUUACUCUCCAGUCUGAAUGACAAUGUGCCAGAUCCCAUGCGUGGAUCAGUUUAAAAUAAGUUAGAUAAAAAUGAUUGCUGCUGACAUGCAGGUCUCCAAGUAAAGAUGGGUGCUCAGGCAUCACCCUAGUGAAUGGGCACUCAAAUGGAGAGAUGGCCAGAGAAACUCAUUCCUAUGCUGAGAACCAGUGCAAGCCAACUGAACUGAAGCAGAACAUUAGGGUUUAUAGGCUUUAUAGAGACUGGGUUGUGCACAUUGGUCCUCUGCAGAGGAAUGACUCUGCCACACAGCAUGGCUUGCAGUGGGCUUUUAGAGAUGUUGGUUUCAUAAUCCUCAGCAAUGUGUUGCUAUAAAAUUACUGGAACUUGAAAAGCAAUGUCUAAUUUUGGCUGGCUUGCUGCUGUCACAGUGAUUUCUUCUGAGGUUACUAAAUUGAUCAUUGGGUUCACCAGCCCUAACAAUCAGACGCAGCGACUAUCAUCUAAGUAUUCUCCUUGACCACUGAGCGCAGAGCAAACCAUUAUCCUAGGAGCAAGGCUCUCCUUAAGACUGCUGGGGUGCCUCUGCUGUGGUAUUUUGCCAAAAUGGAGCAGGGGGGAGCUGGAUUUGCAUUAUGCCCUUGUACUGAUCAAUACAGUAGGACCAAUGCCAUACUAUUCUUCAAAAUUGAAGUGUAGAGUCACUAGGCAACAAGCUACCUCCUAAACAAUCCAAUUUACCUAGAGAAUAUGCAAUUAACUUUGCUUAGCCAAAAGAACUAUCAAACGAAAAACACCCACGUUCUCCGACUGGCCCAUUACGUAUCUGUUCAGAUCUGCUCUGUCCUGUUUUGCCUUUAUAUUUUUCUGUUCUCAAAUCAACAUGCAAUGGAAAGAACAGGAUCAUUGCCAAAGGAUUCACAGACAUAUCUGAGUUUUGUUUUUGGCAGAUACAAUGCAAAUUUUUUUUCUUUUUUUUUUUUUUAUUUAAACUAGUCAGACUGAACUGUCAAAUUUCUAGAUGUAAGUAAAUUUUCAAACUCUUGUUCCAAUGCCCUCUACAAAGUCUCUGUCUUGUACUGGAACUUUCUGUUCUGAGAACUUUUUCUGUUCAAUAAUGUGUCGUCAAUAGCACUGUCAGAGCUGCCGCCUUUCCCUGUGGAAAAGACUGGAAGUGCCACGGAAGAAAGAAUGGACAUCCACAUCCUUCCUCCUUCUCCAGCCCUCAUGGAACACCAAGUGAAGACCUGCCUGCACAUACCUGUUGGAUUGCACUUGUGUUUUCCAUUUUUGAUCACACAGGUUUCUCUAGAAUCACAGCUAUGGCUCUUGCAUUUGAUGACACCGUUCUUGUGACACUGGCAUCUUUUGGUGCAGUGUGGAGUUAUCCAGGUCUCCCCAGCCUGAACACAAGUUGCGUUAAUAGUAUGUUAUCAAGGUGCUCAGCUUUACAAUGCAAUAAAAGUUCAAUAGCAAAGGGUGUGGGGGCUGGCUACAUGCAACAUGUCCAGAUGGUGAUUCCACAACUGCUCAAUCCAGGUGUAGUCUCACCAAGAGGUGGUGUUCCCAGUCCAUUUAUCUUAUUGUCUUUGACAUGAGAAUUUGAACACAAAACAGGACUAGGACAGACUGCUUGAAUAACUCUGAUCAAUUGACUAGUUUUGAAUAUGCCUCAAUUUUGGCCUCAGGUGUGAAGUACCAAGCUCCUGCAUCUCCUAAUACAUGAGCCUGCAGCUUUUACUAAUCAGAUGAAAGGUUUUUAAGAGGUAGACCCUGAAGAUUUCUUUCUCUCUCAUUCAAAUGGACAGGAGACCAACUUUCUGCAAGUUUUGCAGCCAGAGAUUUGCUCCAGGGACAAAUUACUUACACUGUAGUAAUUGUUGUCAUCAUCCCUGCAGCCACAAUUGCUUAGAGGUACACACUUGCCAUUACUGAGCACAUAAUUAUUAUCACAUUCACAGCCCUCAAUGCACUCUUCUGUCUUCUCACAAAGUGAGGAGGCAAAAAUGUCAUUGCAUGUUGAUGGGCAGGUGGAGACACAGUCUGUGUAAUGGCUGUGGUGUGGACAGGGCAAUGCUGUGUGGGUGGAGAACAGAACCAGCAUUAUUACAUACAUUUAGAAAGUGCACUGCAAACACAUGUGCCUAGCUGAAAGCUACAACUUGGCCUAUAAAAUGGUAGUAUAGAAUUGCCUUUUAAUAGCUGAAUUUGAUCAUCAACCAGUUUUGAUUUUUUAUAUUUUAUUUAAAAACCCAACAAAAUCAAAACAGAGAACCCUCUCUGGAGCUGCUGAUUCAGUUCUAUUACAGGUAUGCCUGAAAUGGUGGCACCUGGCACUAGAUCAUUCAGAUUCAGUAAUCCAGUUCAGCUUCAAAUGCCUCUUUGGGCACUGCUAGAAAUGAGAAUCUUUACGGCAAAUUCCUUAGAAUGUUCAACCCUCCAGUGAUGCAAAAUAGGUGUAUAUCUAGCUUAACCACAGGCAUAAACACAUGCAAGAACAACAGAUAUCCAUUGUCAGACUGAAGAUUCAUCUAGCUCUAUACCCUAUUUCUGCCAAUGACUAGAGAUGCAUAAGGGGACAGUUCAAGAAACAGGGUAGCAGGACAAAGGGUUCGUUUGUCCAGUAUUUUCCUCCACUUGUGGCAAGGAGGCAACUAGGAAUUUCUGAUGGACCUAUUCAACAUUCAUCUGGCUUGUUUUUUAACCAGUUAAUUGUUUUGUCCUCCACAACAUUAUGUGAUAAUUAAUUCCACAAUGUAAUACUAAAUUGUGAAAAAACAACAAAAAGAAACCCACUGUGUAAUCUUUACUCAUUGUUACAUAAUUUGUUUGUAGCUUUGUUGAAUGGGUGGAGUGAGGCACAUACACUGGAAAUUAAUCUGAGAAUGUGGCCCCUAAUAAGCAACUGGCCAAAUUGUCAGUUUUCAUUCAAAACACAGUGUCAUCGAGCCCUGUGUCCUAACACAGUAUCCCACUUCGUUUUAGUCUUCUUUAGUCUGGUUGUAUUAUUCCUCCAUUUUAGGCUCAUUGCAACGUAUCAUGACACUCAUUUGGCUACUAAAGCCAUUCUAACUCCACAUUACUAUCCAUAACUUGUCUAGUCCUGAGUUAUAACUGGGUUUAGCUCAACCUGAACACAGUUCAGUGCAACAAUGGAGUCAUUAAAUCAUAAUAAUAGAAUUGCA